AUUGAACGCUGGCGGCAGGCCUAACACAUGCAAGUCGAACGAGUGGCGGACGGGUGAGUAAUGUCUGAGAAACUGCCUGAUGGAGGGGGAUAACUACUGGAAACGGUAGCUAAUACCGCAUACCAUCAGAUGUGCCCAGAUGGGCUUAGCUUGUUGGUGGGGUAACGGAUCACCAAGGCGACGAUCCCUAGCUGGGCUGAGAGGAUGACCGGCCACAUUGGAACUGCGACACGGUCCAUACGCCUACGGUAGGCAGCAGUGGGGAAUAUUGCACAAUGGGCGAAAGCCUGAUGCAGCCAUGCCGCGUGUAUGAAGAAGGCCUUCGGGUUGUAAAGUACUUUCAUCGGGGAGGCGUUACCCGCAGAAGAAGCACCGGCUAACUACGUGCCAGCAGCCGCGGUAAUUC
rnacentral:rRNA from 1 species